UAAUACGUAGGGGGCAAGCGUUGUCCGGAUUUAUUGGGCGUAAAGAGCGUGUAGGCGGCUUGGCAAGUCCGCUGUGAAAACUCGAGGCUUAACCUCGAGACGUCGGUGGAAACUGCCUGGCUAGAGUCCGGAAGAGGAGAGUGGAAUUCCUGGUGUAGCGGUGAAAUGCGCAGAUAUCAGGAAGAACACCCGUGGCUAAGGCGGCUCUCUAGUACGGUACUGACGCUGAGACGCGAAAGCGUGGGGAGCGAACAGGAUUAGAUACCCUGGUAGUCCACGCCGUAAACGAUGGGUGCUAGGUGUGGGGGGUGUCAACUCCCUCCGUGCCGAAGCUAACGCAUUAAGCACCCCGCCUGGGGAGUACGGCCGCAAGGCUA
rnacentral:rRNA from 1 species